rnacentral:rRNA from 1 species
ACGGGAGGCAGCAGUGGGGAAUUUUGGACAAUGGGCGAAAGCCUGAUCCAGCAAUGCCGCGUGAGUGAAGAAGGCCUUCGGGUUGUAAAGCUCUUUUGUCAGGGAAGAAACGGUGAGAGCUAAUAUCUCUUGCUAAUGACGGUACCUGAAGAAUAAGCACCGGCUAACUACGUGCCAGCAGCCGCGGUAAUACGUAGGGUGCAAGCGUUAAUCGGAAUUACUGGGCAUAAAGCGUGCGCAGGCGGUUUUGUAAGUCUGAUGUGAAAUCCCCGGGCUCAACCUGGGAAUUGCAUUGGAGACUGCAAGGCUAGAAUCUGGCAGAGGGGGGUAGAAUUCCACGUGUAGCAGUGAAAUGCGUAGAUAUGUGGAGGAACACCGAUGGCGAAGGCAGCCCCCUGGGUCAAGAUUGACGCUCAUGCACGAAAGCGUGGGGAGCAAACAGGAUUAGAUACCCUGGUAGUCCACGCCCUAAACGAUGUCUACUAGUUGUCGGGUCUUAAUUGACUUGGUAACGCAGCUAACGCGUGAAGUAGACCGCCUGGGGAGUACGGUCGCAAGAUUAAAACUCAAAGGAAUUGACGGGGACCCGCACAAGCGGUGGAUGAUGUGGAUUAAUUCGAUGCAACGCGAAAAACCUUACCUACCCUUGACAUGGCUGGAAUCCCUGAGAGAUUGGGGAGUGCUCGAAAGAGAACCAGUACACAGGUGCUGCAUGGCUGUCGUCAGCUCGU